rnacentral:rRNA from 1 species
CAUGGAUAACUGUGGUAAUUCUAGAGCUAAUACAUGCAGCAAGCCUUGACCUUUACGGGCAAGGCGCAGUUAUUAGAUCAAAAACCAAUCGGUUGUGUCUUCGGAUGCAGCCGUUAGCUUGGUGACUCUGAGUAACCACAGCGAACCGUAUGGCCUCGUGCUCGACGGUCUGUCAGUCAAGCAACUGCCUUAUCAGCUUGUUGUUAGGUUAUAUGCCUAACAAGGCUUCAACGGGUAACGAACGAUCGGGGUCGGAUAUCGGAGAGGGAGCUUGAGAAACGGCUACCACUUCCAAGGAAGGCAGCAGGCGCGCAAAUUACCCACUCUCGGCAUGAGGAGGUAGCGAUAAAAUGUAUCGAUGCGGGGCCAUUAGUGCCUUCGUAAUCGGAAUGAGUACACUUUAAAUCCUAUAACGAGGACCUAUUGGAGGGCAAGUCUGGUGCCAGCAGCCGCGGUAAUUCCAGCUCCAAUAGCGUAUAUUAAUGCUGCUGCGGUUAAAAAGCUCGUAGUCGGAUCUGGGUUACCGGCGGGUACCGCAUGUUGCUUCACGCAGCAUGUUGUGUACUAUACGUGUCGCUUCGGCGGCACUGCCAGUGUAAUUGUACCCCACGUGGGUGCAUUACGCUGGUCGCCGGAACCACGAGCCGGGUUGAGCAGCAUGCUCUUAACUGAGUGUGUUGUUUACUCGGUGCGUUUACUUUGAAAAAAUUGGAGUGCUCAAAGCAAGCGUACAGUCGCUAUGCGGCUUGAACAGUGGUGCAUGGAAUAAUGGAAUAGGGCCUCGGUUCUAUUUUGUUGGUUUUAAGAUAUCGAGGUAAUGAUUAAGAGGGACAGACGGGGACGUUUGUAUUGCGACGUUAGAGGUGAAAUUCUUGGAUCGUCGCA